rnacentral:rRNA from 1 species
UACAGAGGUCUCAAGCGUUGUUCGGAUUCAUUGGGCGUAAAGGGUGCGUAGGUGGCGCCGUAAGUCGGGUGUGAAAUUUCGGAGCUUAACUCCGAAACUGCAUUCGAUACUGCGGUGCUUGAGGACUGUAGAGGAGACUGGAAUUCAUGGUGUAGCAGUGAAAUGCGUAGAGAUCAUGAGGAAGACCAGUGGCGAAGGCGGGUCUCUGGACAGUUCCUGACACUGAGGCACGAAGGCCAGGGGAGCAAACGGG